rnacentral:rRNA from 1 species
UACGGGGGGAGCAAGCGUUGUUCGGAUUUACUGGGCGUAAAGUGUGCGCAGGUGGCUGAGCAAGUCGAGUGUGAAAUCCCCGGGCUUAACUUGGGAAUUGCGCUCGAAACUACUUGGCUCGAGUGUGGCAGAGGAAGGUGGAAUUCCAGGUGUAGCGGUGAAAUGCGUAGAGAUCUGGAGGAACACCGAUGGCGAAGGCAGCCCCCUGGGAUGUGACUGACGCUCAUGUACGAAAGCGUGGGGAGCAAACAGG